CCAGCUUCUUUUGCAGCAGUCCGGAGGACGCUAAACACUGCACGGAUUGCUCCGCCUUUUCUCUCCGGAGAGAGCUUUAGUUGGGGGGGGGGCUUUUUAAGGGGGGGGGCGGCGAGAGGGGCGUCCCUCUUUCUAUUUUUCUAUGAAAUUUAAAAAGAAAAAGAAUCACUCGUGUGCUUAAGAUAUUCAACGCUCAAAAAUCUAGACCCUUAUGGGAAAUAGCAACUCCAGACAACCCAAUAAUUGAAAGAUGAAGGUGAGAAACGCAAGAUCACUAUCGCCCAUCUCCUCCCGCUUAUGACUGCCUGACUGUAACUUUGUUCCUUGUACCCUUACGAUUUAUAUUGAUUGCUUCCUAGUAUGAUUUGAUUGCUUAUUUGUACCCUAUGACUAUCAUUAAAUGUUGUACCUUAUGAUUCUUGACAAAUGUAUCUUGUCUUUUUAUAUACACUGAGAGCAUAUGCACCAAAGACAAAUUCCUUGUGUGUCCAAUCACACUUGGCCAAUAAAGAAUUCUAUUCUAUUCUAUUCUAUUCUAUUCUAUUCCAUUCCAUUCCAUUCCAUUCCACUCCAUUCCACUCCACUCCACUCCACACUCCACUCCACUCCUUAUUCUAUUCCUUAUUCUGUCCUGUCCUGUCCUGUCCUAUCCUAUCACCGUAACAUUUCUGGAGUGACAAAACAAUGCAAGUAAAACAUGAAGAAGUAGCAUUCUUUAGCAUGGCU